UUGUCUUCUUCGACCACGUCAUUGCCUCGUGACAUUUGGACACCUUGACGACACUCGACCACGUGUUCGCUCGUUACCAUGCCAUCUUCAGCAUCAUGGUUCUGUAAGACUCCGUGCACUCGUCGACACCCGGCUGUCGAUCUCCACCACGCAGCACCGCAUCGGACUUACCCUGUAGGAUGUUCACCAAGUGCGCGACAAAAAGCUCGAACAUCCUGCGUGACUCAAGUUCGAUUCGUCAAAAUUAUUCAGUCGAGGAAAAGAUCUUCAGCAAUUGGUUACUAAAGAAAAGAAGGCCCAUGGGUGACGUCUACCUAAUACCCGACGAAACGUCUGAAGUAGAAUUUAUCGAUGUGUCCAUGGAGGUGGAGCGACUUAAUCUUGGUAAGCGAACUCGUUACUUCGGAUAGUUGGAAUGGUAAUUUGUUUGGCUAGAUUUAUUAAUUGUAAUAAUCCUUGUGUUAGCACCGGCACGUUGUGGUAGUGUUAAAUAUGUGUCAAAUACGAUGGAGUUAGUAAUGCGAAAGGUAGAUUAAAUUAUACGAUAUUCGGGUGAGCUGACGACGUAGAAAAAUAGGCUUAGUAUUCCUAUCAGCUAGUUGAUAGAAUUUUCUAGUGUUGUUAUGUCAAUUUGAUUAAUUGAUAUAGUCGAUGCUCUGCUUAAUUAGUUAGUUUAUGCUAGGUUUGGUAUUUAGUUUGAUGUCAUGAGAGACGUGCAAAUUACCUAUGUAAUUAACAGUGAAUGGCAUCGAUCUAUCUAAUUAGCGUGGAAUUCAAGAUAAUUGAGAAACACAAUUUAGACAGUUAAUUAAUAUGCUCCCUUACUCUAAAUUAUCGGUAUUAAAAAAUAGUGAAUAAAAAUGUAACAAGUAAUGUGAUAUUGGGUGUUUUGCCAAAAGACUUGUGCUUAGCUUAUUAUUGCUUGAUGUUUGAAGUAGAUGCGAUUACGCUAAAAAAAUGUGAUAAUUGGGCGUAGUCGAAUGUCGUUAGCUAGUGUUUUCGUAUAAAAUAGUACGACGCUUCAUCACUAAAUGUUUAAUUCUUGUCGGUAUAGCACUAUUUAGGUUUAUGAUAUUCCUAUCUAUAUGCAUUCAUAUGCAUAAUGCAUUUCAUUCAGGUACGUUAAAUAAUCGUGUGAUGCGGAAGACGAGCCAAGUCGACCCCAAGCGCGGGCCAAUUCGUAGGAUGAUGCUGAUGGACGAACCGGAAGAUGGAUAAUCUGAACGAGUGCCAAGCCAAAGGAUGCUCGCCAAGUAGUCGCCUAACAAACACUAACCUAGUGUUACCCAGGCAAGCCCCGGUGCAUUUGCCACCUUCUUGCUGUUUUAAAAUCUUUAUCACCUUGUUUGAUGCAUUAUGUGAUAGGAGUUGUGUGCUAAACCGUUGAUGCAUUUUCUUUCUUGAAAAUUGAUUACCCUUUGUUGAUACCCGUUUUGAAAAGAAUUUUAUGAUGCUUAGCCUUGCUUUAGCAAACAAAAAUGUUUUGUUUUAAAACAAAAGUGAUGCUUCAGUGGAUGGGAAUUUUUUCAAAAAUAAAACUUGAUGGUGAAUCCAUCAUGGCCAUAAUGGAUUCAACAUCGGAAAAUAUGUACCUCUGCCAGGUACCAAACUUUGGGUUUAAAUAAUAAAGCUGAGACCGGGCGGGUGACUUGCACGAGAAAGGAGUCUCGGUGUAGUGUAUCCAUCUGAGUCGUUUAAGGACUGUACCGAUUGUUGGCUUGCUGAUCUAGGACCCUUUAUCUGGACAUAUACCUCAUCAUGGGUAAGCUUGAACCUGGCUAUUCCAUACAUGAAAAGACAAUCGCGCACUGUGAGUGGAGAGAUGGCGAGAGUGGCACGUACUCUCCUGGCAAAGGAUCGUCUAAAAGGGGUGGUGUGCUCUCGGGUGGCGUGGACCUGUUCAUGUGGUGGAGGAUCCGUGGAAAUGGUAGACAUGUGCAAAAGAGUUAAGAGAAGCAUAUGUCGUGUGGUUGGAAAUCCCCAGCUGGGUAUUAAUCGAUUUGGAUCGCCAAACUUCUCGGAUAUGAAGACGGGAUCUUCGACCCUCAUCGUAGAUAACAAGCGAAACAAAAGUUUGAUUUUAAAAGAAAGCUAGUGUAGGACAAGUGAAUGAUCUAGAUUAGGCAAAUCUAGAUUCAGAAAAAGUACUUAACUUGUGAUGUAAAAUUUUGGCUUAAGGACCCACUUCUAGUAAGCUUUUCUGUAAAAAGAGUCUUUGAAACUUGAUGAGCUUUACCUUGAAUCCCUCUAGCCAGCAUACCGUUGAGAGUCUUUUCUUUAGUCGGGUAAGUCUUGCUGAGUAAUUCCAUACUCAGGGUUUUUUUUCCCUGUUGUUUUUCAGGUUAUAGUUUUGUGCUGCUGCUGAAGAUGUUAAGUGCCGGUGGGCUCGGCCUUCUUAUAAGUCUAAGUAGC
rnacentral:lncRNA from 1 species